rnacentral:piRNA from 2 species
UUUCUGUUUUCAGGGUGAUGUCAAGAUGU